CAUGUCACCAAUAAACCCCUACCCAAUAUGACAUUAAUGUAAACAAACAAAAAUAAUACUAGACUUUCAGCAUUUUAAUAAGUCGUGUUUGUACCAGAAAUAUAAGCAAAGGGUUUAAUCCGAAGUCUCUAGUAACUGGAAGUCACGAGUACAUCAAAGAAAUUUGAAUAAAUAAUGUAUAAAAUAUUGGUAAAUAUUUGUGUAGGUGCUAGGCUGUACUGUAUAAAAUAAUCGAAAGAAAUAGCAUUUUUAUACACUUUCAGAUUACCUAGGCUCUCUUAUUGGCUGGUAUAGGAUAACCGGACUUUGGUAAUUUUGUAUACUCUUAGAAGUGUUAAUGGUGUAAAUAUACAGUGGGCUGCUGUCAAAACCCAAGAAGUGUGAAUAACAGCACCUGUGCA